rnacentral:rRNA from 1 species
AUGGCGAGGGACGAACCCUCCGCCGCCGCCGUGGACGUCGCCGACGGCGACUCACCCUCCUCCAGCCCAACCCUCACGCGCCUACGGGAAGCACUCGCCGCCCUCUCCGAGGCGUUCGAGUCCGGCGACACCGCCUCCUCCGACGCAGCCGCUGCCGCCGUCGCCGAGAUCCUCAGCCCGUCCGAUGCCGACGCGUCCGCCGCGCUCUCCGAGCAGAUGCUCCGCGAGGUCCACGCGUUCCUCUCGCGCCCGUCCUCGAAUCAGAUGGCCAUUGACGCGCUGUCUCUAGAGCUUCCCAAGCCAGUGGCGAAGCUGGGUGCUCGGAUGGGGAAUUGCCGGGACAUUGCCAGAGCAAUCAUUGAGUUCUUUGCAUCGAAUUGCAGCCCAAGGGACAUGCUCUGCAUCCUCUGCGAGGCAUUAGAUACACCAGUGGCAUUUAAUGGAUCAGCAUACCUUGUUAUUCUACUAGAUGGGCUUGCCAGCACGCUUACUUUGAUUCAGAGGAGACAUAUUGAGCAAGUAAAGGUCGUACUUCCUGCCAUCCUUCGAGUUAUGCAUGCUAAUUUAUCAGAAUAUGAUGGGGAACAUAGAAUGAGUACUGUUGAUCUGUUCAGUGCAGCCCUCCGUAUUGGCAAUGCUAUACAAGAAAUGUGCAAAACAAUGGUAAACCACAGGAAGGAAGAGUUAUGUUCUAUACUUGGUCUAUACGCCCUUCAAAACAUAGCUCUUUUGCAGGCUCUUGUAUCAUCAGAAAGCAAACAUCAGAAUAUUCUAUCUACUUGUGGUUCAGUUGUUCUUCAAUAUUCUAAAUUUCUUAUGUUUUGCGGCUUCACCUAUUUGGGUCUUUUAACUGGUAAUGAUGUGACCUCAACCACCACUAAGCUUUCUAAAGAAGAGGACGACAAUUUUCUGGACUGCUUUUCUUCUGCUAUGGACGGUGCAAGUCUUGUAGUUGUGUGGACAUCUAUGCACGAUGACAUGUCAAAAUAUGCUGGAGCAGAGUUUGAAUCAGCUCUGAAAGAAGUUCAAGACAAUUGUAUUAGGAAAUGGGAAGCAAUUAACAUGUUUAGAUACGUCUUGUCUUCAGUUAAUUACUCAUGGGCAAUCAAAUCUCACAGUCUGGACUUAUUGUUGACUCUAGUUGAUGAUAAGUGUAGUGAGGAAACCAACGAUCAUGUAGAUUUCCCGUAUUCCACUCAAAUUUUUGCCACACUCAAGGCCAUUGAAAGAGUCAUGAUAGCUGCCCCAGAUACAUUGAUGCGGAAGAAAGCCUUUUCUGCCCUGAAAAGGGUUAUUUCAGCGGUGCCAUCCACUCAGAGAUUUGAUAUCUUACAGGCCCUCAUCGAGAAUAGUAUGUUCCCCUCCUUGACUGCAAUUCUUUUAGAUCUGGUGAAGAAUGAAGUUUCGAGAGAGAGCCGUCGAGCUGAUCAGGUUAAUGGAUCUGAUCGAUCACAAGAUGCUGGGGAAUCACCACCUUGGGCUUCUCAGGUGCUUGAGUUAGUGGAGCUGAUCUUGAGGCCUCCAGAAGGUGGUCCUCCUUGUCUUCGUGAUCACAGUGAAGAGGUAUUAUCUGCUCUGAACUUGCUCAGAUUGAUUCUGAUAAUAGAUUCAAGAGGAUCCAGAUCAGCCAAAAUGUUGCGGGAUGAAAAAAUACGAGCCGUGUACUCAGAGUGGCUGAUCCCACUAAGAUUAAUUAUUACAGGGAUUCAAUCGGAACUCGAGAAAGGCGGCGGUGAGGAUGAAAAUCAGAUGUUGUGCUUGUUAAAUCCUGUUCAAUUCGUACUUCACCGCUGCAUUGAGCUGGUGGAGGAAAAAAAAUGA